rnacentral:rRNA from 1 species
ACGCGAGCUGGGUUUAGAACGUCGUGAGACAGUUCGGUCCCUAUCUGCCGUGGGCGCUGGAGAACUGAGGGGGGCUGCUCCUAGUACGAGAGGACCGGAGUGGACGCAUCACUGGUGUUCGGGUUGUCAUGCCAAUGGCACUGCCCGGUAGCUAAAUGCGGAAGAGAUAAGUGCUGAAAGCAUCUAAGCACGAAACUUGCCCCGAGAUGAGUUCUCCCUGACCCUUUAAGGUCCUGAAGGAACGUUGAAGACGACGACGUUGAUAGGCCGGGUGUGUAAGCGCAGCGAUGCGUUGAGCUAACCGGUACUAAUGAACCGUGAGGCUUAACCUU